CCCGUACACAAAAAUGCACAUACUGUGAGCUCGAUGAGUAGGGCGGGACACGUGGUAUCCUGUCUGAAUAUGGGGGGACCAUCCUCCAAGGCUAAAUACUCCUGACUGACCGAUAGUGAACCAGUACCGUGAGGGAAAGGCGAAAAGAACCCCGGCGAGGGGAGUGAAAAAGAACCUGAAACCGUGUACGUACAAGCAGUGGGAGCACGCUUAGGCGUGUGACUGCGUACCUUUUGUAUAAUGGGUCAGCGACUUAUAUUCUGUAGCAAGGUUAACCGAAUAGGGGAGCCGAAGGGAAACCGAGUCUUAACUGGGCGUUAAGUUGCAGGGUAUAGACCCGAAACCCGGUGAUCUAGCCAUGGGCAGGUUGAAGGUUGGGUAACACUAACUGGAGGACCGAACCGACUAAUGUUGAAAAAUUAGCGGAUGACUUGUGGCUGGGGGUGAAAGGCCAAUCAAACCGGGAGAUAGCUGGUUCUCCCCGAAAGCUAUUUAGGUAGCGCCUCGUGAAUUCAUCUCCGGGGGUAGAGCACUGUUUCGGCAAGGGGGUCAUCCCGACUUACCAACCCGAUGCAAACUGCGAAUACCGGAGAAUGUUAUUACGGGAGACACACGGCGGGUGCUAACGUCCGUCGUGAAGAGGGAAACAACCCAGACCGCCAGCUAAGGUCCCAAAGUCAUGGUUAAGUGGGAAACGAUGUGGGAAGGCCCAGACAGCCAGGAUGUUGGCUUAGAAGCAGCCAUCAUUUAAAGAAAGCGUAAUAGCUCACUGGUCGAGUCGGCCUGCGCGGAAGAUGUAACGGGGCUAAACCAUGCACCGAAGCUGCGGCAGCGACGCUUAUGCGUUGUUGGGUAGGGGAGCGUUCUGUAAGCCUGUGAAGGUGUGCUGUGAGGUAUGCUGGAGGUAUCAGAAGUGCGAAUGCUGACAUAAGUAACGAUAAAGCGGGUGAAAAGCCCGCUCGCCGGAAGACCAAGGGUUCCUGUCCAACGUUAAUCGGGGCAGGGUGAGUCGACCCCUAAGGCGAGGCCGAAAGGCGUAGUCGAUGGGAAACAGGUUAAUAUUCCUGUACUUGGUGUUACUGCGAAGGGGGGACGGAGAAGGCUAUGUUGGCCGGGCGACGGUUGUCCCGGUUUAAGCGUGUAGGCUGGUUUUCCAGGCAAAUCCGGAAAAUCAAGGCCGAGGCGUGAUGACGAGGCACUACGGUGCUGAAGCAACAAAUGCCCUGCUUCCAGGAAAAGCCUCUAAGCAUCAGGUAACAUCAAAUCGUACCCCAAACCGACACAGGUGGUCAGGUAGAGAAUACCAAGGCGCUUGAGAGAACUCGGGUGAAGGAACUAGGCAAAAUGGUGCCGUAACUUCGGGAGAAGGCACGCUGAUACGUAGGUGAAGCGACUUGCUCGUGGAGCUGAAAUCAGUCGAAGAUACCAGCUGGCUGCAACUGUUUAUUAAAAACACAGCACUGUGCAAACACGAAAGUGGACGUAUACGGUGUGACGCCUGCCCGGUGCCGGAAGGUUAAUUGAUGGGGUUAGCGCAAGCGAAGCUCUUGAUCGAAGCCCCGGUAAACGGCGGCCGUAACUAUAACGGUCCUAAGGUAGCGAAAUUCCUUGUCGGGUAAGUUCCGACCUGCACGAAUGGCGUAAUGAUGGCCAGGCUGUCUCCACCCGAGACUCAGUGAAAUUGAACUCGCUGUGAAGAUGCAGUGUACCCGCGGCAAGACGGAAAGACCCCGUGAACCUUUACUAUAGCUUGACACUGAACAUUGAGCCUUGAUGUGUAGGAUAGGUGGGAGGCUUUGAAGUGUGGACGCCAGUCUGCAUGGAGCCGACCUUGAAAUACCACCCUUUAAUGUUUGAUGUUCUAACGUGGACCCGUGAUCCGGGUUGCGGACAGUGUCUGGUGGGUAGUUUGACUGGGGCGGUCUCCUCCUAAAGAGUAACGGAGGAGCACGAAGGUUGGCUAAUCCUGGUCGGACAUCAGGAGGUUAGUGCAAUGGCAUAAGCCAGCUUGACUGCGAGCGUGACGGCGCGAGCAGGUGCGAAAGCAGGUCAUAGUGAUCCGGUGGUUCUGAAUGGAAGGGCCAUCGCUCAACGGAUAAAAGGUACUCCGGGGAUAACAGGCUGAUACCGCCCAAGAGUUCAUAUCGACGGCGGUGUUUGGCACCUCGAUGUCGGCUCAUCACAUCCUGGGGCUGAAGUAGGUCCCAAGGGUAUGGCUGUUCGCCAUUUAAAGUGGUACGCGAGCUGGGUUUAGAACGUCGUGAGACAGUUCGGUCCCUAUCUGCCGUGGGCGCUGGAGAACUGAGGGGGGCUGCUCCUAGUACGAGAGGACCGGAGUGGACGCAUCACUGGUGUUCGGGUUGUCAUGCCAAUGGCACUGCCCGGUAGCUAAAUGCGGAAGAGAUAAGUGCUGAAAGCAUCUAAGCACGAAACUUGCCCCGAGAUGAGUUCUCCCUGACCCUUUAAGGGUCCUGAAGGAACGUUGAAGACGACGACGUUGAUAGGCCGGGUGUGUAAGCGCAGCGAUGCGUUGAGCUAACCGGUACUAAUGAACCGUGAGGCUUAACCUUACAACGCCGAAG
rnacentral:rRNA from 2 species